AAUAGAUACCCCGGUAGUCCACGCCGUAAACGAUGAGUGCUAAGUGUUAGAGGGUUUCCGCCCUUUAGUGCUGCAGCUAACGCAUUAAGCACUCCGCCUGGGGAGUACGGCCGCAAGGCUGAAACUCAAAGGAAUUGACGGGGGCCCGCACAAGCGGUGGAGCAUGUGGUUUAAUUCGAAGCAACGCGAAGAACCUUACCAGGUCUUGACAUCCUCUGCCAACCCUAGAGAUAGGGCGUUCCCCUUCGGGGGACAGAGUGACAGGUGGUGCAUGGUUGUCGUCAGCUCGUGUCGUGAGAUGUUGGGUUAAGUCCCGCAACGAGCGCAACCCUUGAUCUUAGUUGCCAGCAUUCAGUUGGGCACUCUAAGGUGACUGCCGGUGACAAACCGGAGGAAGGUGGGGAUGACGUCAAAUCAUCAUGCCCCUUAUGACCUGGGCUACACACGUGCUACAAUGGAUGGUACAAAGAGCUGCGAACCCACGAGGGUAAGCGAAUCUCAUAAAGCCAUUCUCAGUUCGGA
rnacentral:rRNA from 1 species